CCUUAAGACUGAGUCCCUACAGAAACUCUUGCGGAAGGAGAGCACGUUCCGGCUCGACGUGGCCUGGCACCGAGUGAAAGGGAGUCGACGCUUGCAGACAAGGCCUGAAGGGCCAGGUGAUAGAAGAUCUGAGAAGCCAUAUGGGAUAGAGAUUAGCAGUAACAAGAAGAUGCCACCACUCCCAAAACAGAAGGGACAAAGGAAAGGGAUGGUUACCAGAGCCCAGAAGGUGAGACCACUGAGUGGGAGUCAGGACUGCGGGUCAGUGCAGCCACUGCAGGAGGAUGCUGCCUGAGAAGGAGCGAGGGAGAAGCAACCAGGACAACUGUAAAAAGCAAGCUUGGAGGCACGCAAUGGGUCAGGUUAUUUCAGGAUCUCCUCCAGAAACCUAGACAUACUGGAAUUGAAAACCUGCCCGACCACCCCAGCUGGAAUUACUUCUUCCUUCUUGGAAUUGAUGGAGCAGGACUUCGACGCUCAUUUGGCACAUCUGUGUUCAUUUAUUCAUUCAUUCCAAAAUAUUCUCUGAACACCCUUUGUUCAGUAUCACGCAGAGUGAGAAGGGAGUGGGCCAGAUUUGAGGAAUGGGCAGGAAGUAGAGAGGACGUGCAGAUGAGGAGGGAGUGGAGACUAAUACCGAACAUAGGGGCUUUCCUCUCAACGGAUUUUGGGGUACCUUACGAUACAUCUGAUUACUAAUAUCUCUUGCACAAAUGAUAAAUGUUCAUUACACACAUACACAAUCUAAGUAUAAAUGCUGAAACAGAAAAAUCAAUUGGGCAAACAGAUGAGAAGCACAAGUCUUGGAGAGAUGAUUGAACAUUUUGUUUUUUCCCCUGGUUGAUAAUGAAACUGUUUUUGAAUGUCAGUUUCAACCAAUCUCUUACCUCCUCUACAGCCACUCUAGAGUAAUAGUGGGGAAAUGGUAAGCUUCUGGAUUUGAUUCUUCUUUGUCAAGCACAAAUUAUCCUGAGAACAUAAAUUACAUCAGUCACUUUUUUUUCCCCCAGGGAAAGCCUUAAGGAGGAAAUUAAGUUGGAAAACAUGAUGCCAGUAAUUUUCUACACAUAAAUGAUUAGUGAUUAAAUAAGCAUUGAGAGUAGAAAUAUUAGGGAAAAGAAAAUAGUUUGAAUAUUAUUGGUGCCCCUACUCUAUUGGAGUGCUUAUAAAACUUGUGACAAGGCCAAAAUGAAAGGGAAAACAUUCUUUUUUUUUUUCUAAAAGAAAUUGAGAUGAAACUAACCAUCUUAAAGUGAACAACUCAGUGGCACUUGGUACAUUCAUAACGUUGUGCGAUCACCUCUACCUAGUUCUCAAAAUCUUCAUCACCCACAAAGGAAACCUCAGACCCUUUACACAAUUUCUGCCCAUUCCUCCCUCCUCUUACUCCCUGGAAACCACAAAUCUGCAUUUUGUCUCUGUAGAUUUAUCUAUUCUGGACAUUUCAUGUAAAUAGCUCAUAUAAUAAGUGACUUUUUGGGUCUGGCUUCUUUCAUUCAGCAUAAUGUUUUCAAGGUUCAUACAUGUUGUAACAUGUGUUAAUACUUCAUUCCUUUUUAUGCCUGAAUAAAAUAUCCCAGUAAAAUAUUCCAUUAUCACUGUUUAUUUAUGUACUUGUCAGUUAAUAAACAUUUGGGUUAUAUAUCUUUUGGCUAUUAUGAAUAGUGUUAUGAAUGCUCAUGUACAAACAUUUGUUUGAGUAUCUGUUUUCAGUUCUUUUGGGUGUAUCCCUAGGAGUGGAAAUGCUAAUUCUUUAAACUUUUCCCACUACCCAUAGAAUCUAGCAUAGCCCAACCCUGAGCUGCUUGCCAGGGUGUCUGUUUUCUGGGAGAAACAAAUGCCAUUAGCAGAGUAGAAGAAUUCUGUUUAUUAAGAACUAGAGUCUGAUCUCGUCAUGGGAUAGUAAAAA